ensembl:snoRNA
CUGCAUGUUAAAAGAACCCAAUAAUUCUGUUCCUCGUUCCCAUGAGGAGCAUGAAUAUCUCUAACAUGCUAGAGAAAACAAGGAGUUUUCAGGGCUGCCAGUCUUGCAGGAAAGACUGAGUGGUAGUAUAGGUCUCCUACAAGU